rnacentral:rRNA from 1 species
UACAGAGGGUGCGAGCGUUAAUCGGAAUUACUGGGCGUAAAGCGUGCGUAGACGGUAGCGUAAGUCAGAUGUGAAAGCCCCGGGCUUAACCUGGGAAUUGCAUUUGAUACUCUGGAGCUUGAGUACGGGAGAGGAGAGUGGAAUUCCCAGUGUAGAGGUGAAAUUCGUAGAUAUUGGGAAGAACACCGGUGGCGAAGGCGGCUCUCUGGACCGUAACUGACGCUGAGGCGCGAAAGCGUGGGGAGCAAACAGG